AUGGCUCCCUGCGUGGAUCUCGCGCUUGCAUUGCCGGAUCCGGCCGGCGCGGGUGAGGAGGGGUGGCGGCCCUCCUUCCCCUGCUCGUGGGCAGCCCGGCGGCUUCGGCGGCCCUGCAACAUUGGCGUCCUGGUGGUGCUCCUCUAUGGACGCCCCUUUGUGCUGUGGCGGCGGCUCCCAGUGUGCAGCGGUGGCGGCUCCCGGCGCGGAUCUCGUGCUUCUGGGCCCGGCCGGCGCGGGUCCGGAGGGGUGGCGGCUCUCCUGCCCCUGCUCGUGGGCGUGUACUCGUCUGCGUGGUGGCUGCGUACUGGAUGCGGUCUGACGUGGGGGAAUGUGGAUCUGGCAGGCGGCCAGAUCUGGCUUGCCGGUGCUACUCUAGCUGCCGGUGAGGAGUGGGUUGUGGUGGCUCUCCGAGGUUGCUGGCGCGGCGUCUUCGUGGAGGUGGGUGGGCCAGUGGAGGUGCUGUGCGUGGGGGUGCCAGUGGUGACAGGUGCUCCGGGCGAAAGUUUUGCCGGGUUCCUACCGGCCGGCGGCGUCGGUGUCCGUGGGCGUCGUUUCAUCUCCUUGGAGGCGCCGUCGUGGAGCCCCGUGUCCGCCACCCUCGGACCUUGCUCUUCGGGUGAAAGCCUAAGGCCCGGCCGGGUCGGGCGACGGCGUCGUCAUCGUCGCUUCCCCCUUGGGGGCGUUGCCUUGAAGAGUUUUGGUUCCCGUUUGCGCUCUCCAUGGGCUGGACGCUCGCGACAUUGCGGUCGGCUGGUGCCCGUCCGGCGAUGUGGAUGUUUGCGCGGCUUCUUGUGUGGCAACGAUGGCAUUUCGAGCGGAGCAGGCUUGAUGAUGGGUCUUGGUAGUCGGUCUCUUCCUGCGUGUUCGAGGGGUCGCCGUGCCCUGCUUUGUCUUCCUGAAGUCAGAGCUGCUGAGGAGGGUCCCUUGCGGUGA
rnacentral:rRNA from 1 species